rnacentral:rRNA from 1 species
CGAGCACGCGCGUGUGGCAUAUCAAUAAGCGGAGGAAAAGAAACUAACAAGGAUUCCCUUAGUAACGGCGAGUGAAGCGGGAAGAGCUCAAAUUUGAAAUCUUCAAGGUUCUACCUUGACGAAUUGUAGUUUAUAGAAGUGUUUUCUGUUAGUAGAGUGGCAAAGGUUCUUUGGAAUAGGACAUCAUAGAGGGUGAGAAUCCCGUAUUUGGUCAUUCUUUCUAGCUUUGUGAUACACUUUCAACGAGUCGGAUUGUUUGGGAAUGCAGUCCAAAAUGGGUGGUAAAUUUCAUCUAAAGCUAAAUAUUGGCGAGAGACCGAUAGCGAACAAGUACCGUGAGGGAAAGAUGAAAAGAACUUUGAAAAGAGAGUUAAACAGUACGUGAAAUUGUCAAAAGGGAAGCGUUUGACACCAGUGUUGUUUUUCCGAAAAUCAAUUAAAAAUGGAUUCAUGCUAGGUAGUAUUGACUUCAUCGGCUUGCUGCUUAGUUUUGGGUUCUUUUUUGAUGCACUUUUCAGUUAACAAGUCAACAUCAAUUUCUUUUGUUGUAAAAGGGUACGAGGAAGGUGGCUUUCUUUUCGGAGAAAGUGUUUAUAGCCUUGUGCCUCUGCAAUCGGAGAGAUUGAGGUCUGCAGCGUAGAUCCUUCGGGGUUAGAUACAUUUGUGCUAAGUUAUAGCUUUUCAUAGACAACUUGUUGACUAUGUUUAGUCUUGUAGCUUACUCGCUUAUGCUAUUUUACCUACGCUUAGGAUGUUGAGCGCAUGUCUCUCUCU